CAGGAAAACCUCUUCCACAUAGGUAGAGCAUAAUUACUAAAAUCUCCAUGGAGUUUCUCGAAAAGACAACAUGCCCUAUCUGUUCUCCAAUCAAUUUAAGCCAUAUCAUAGGGUGUACGAAACGGAAACCAACUAACCUGGCAUUCUCCCUCCAAAAAAUCAAACAGAGAAUAUUUUCUUUCCUUGUAAUUUCUGCAUAAUUCCUGAAUGUUUCUCGGGAAAAUGAGGGAAAGGGGCACAAAAAUGUUUUAAACUGCCUUUCUUUCUUAACAAAUUUUGGCUCCAAACACAAUGCAAUCUAACACCCAAGCCCUAGCCCCUGGCCUUAAUCUCUUCCCAACCCUCAAGCCCCCUCACAAAACCCUCACUUUCCACCGGAUCUCAGCUCUCCUCAUCACCUUCGUCGCGUACGCCUCCUUUCACGCCUCUCGAAAACCGCCCAGCAUAGUCAAAAGCGUCCUCAGUCCCGAAAUUCAAUCCAACUCCACUCCACUCGACACCGGUUGGGCUCCGUUUAAUGGACCUCACGGCACCCACCGUCUCGGCGAGCUCGAUCUCGCAUUCCUAUCUUCAUAUUCAAUUGGGAUGUAUUUUUCUGGUCACGCCGGUGAUCGGUUGGAUCUCCGGCUCUUCCUUGUGAUUGGAAUGUUAGGUAGUGGAAUUUUAACAAUUAUAUUCGGGUUGGGGGAUUGGUUGAAUGUUCAUAAGUUAGGGUUUUUUGUGGGGGUGCAAAUUGUAUGUGGAUUGUUUCAGAGUAUUGGGUGGCCUUGUGUUGUGGCUGUUGUGGGUAAUUGGUUUGGGAAAGAGAAGAGAGGGUUGAUAAUGGGAUUAUGGAAUUCGCAUACUUCGGUUGGGAACAUUGUUGGGUCAGUUGUAUCAUCGGCGGUGUUGGAAUUCGGAUGGGGGUGGUCGUUUGUGUUGCCUGGUAUUUUGAUCAUUAUCAUUGGAAUUUUUGUUUUCAUGUUUCUUGUUGUCAAUCCGGAAGAUCUUGGAUUUGAACUUUUAGGAAAGGAGAUAGAGAUGAAUGUGGAAGUAGAAUCCAAUAAAUCUAUGGAAAAUUCAGAGAAAGUUGAAUCGGAAGAUGCGGGGCUUCUUCCAUCCGAAGUUACAGAUUCUUCGGGUGCAAUUGGGUUCUUGGAGGCGUGGAGGUUACCAGGUGUGGCGCCUUUUGCGUUUUGCCUCUUCUUCUCCAAGCUCGUGGCUUACACUUUCCUUUACUGGUUGCCCUUCUACAUAAGGCACACGGCUGUUGCUGGUGUGCACCUGUCUCACAAAACUGCUGGGAUUCUUUCUACUAUAUUUGAUGUUGGUGGAGUUCUAGGAGGAAUUUUGGCAGGGUACAUUUCGGAUAAGAUUGAAGCUCGAGCUGUUACUUCAAUUAUAUUCUUGUUACUAUCUAUUCCUGCCCUUGUUUUAUACCGGGUUUAUGGAAGUAUAUCUAUGUACACCAACAUUGGGUUGAUGUUUCUUUCGGGGUUGCUUGUGAAUGGUCCAUACUCGCUUAUCACAACAGCUGUCGCUGCUGAUCUUGGUACACAGAGCUUGAUCAAGGGGAAUUCCCGUGCAUUAGCUACUGUCACUGCAAUUAUAGAUGGUACUGGUUCUGUUGGCGCAGCUAUUGGUCCACUUCUUGCUGGAUAUAUUUCCACCAGAGGAUGGAACAGUGUAUUUUUUAUGCUUAUCCUUGCAAUAUUUCUAGCGGGUUUGUUCUUGAUUCGUAUUGUCAAAACUGAGAUCAAAAGCAAGCUGAAUGAGGGGAAAUGACGAUGGUACAGUAUUACAGCACAAUGAUGCAGGACUUUCUCUACACAUUCUUUGCAACUCCUUUUUCCAUCUUGUUAGGGAGCCAAGUUUUGAACAUUUCACAGAGUACUGGUGGAAACGUUUCUCAAACCAUCAUUUUAUAUGUUCUGUACCUCCUUGGAAACUGGCUUUUUCUCACAGCAUACAGCACACUGAUGGAGAACCUUCACAAAACAAUCCUUCAUGGUGGUAUAUAUGAACACUGGUUAUGGAACAGAACUGAUCGGCCACACUCAUCUUUAAAUCAUGAGAAAGGUUUUGAGCGUAUGUCCCAAGACUUUCAAGAAAUGCUCAGAUGUACCUAUAGCUUGCCGAGAUCUUGUAAAGGGCAUCUCAUGUGAAAAAUAGCCUAGUUAUCAUUGUGUCCUGUAGCAGCUAAGAAAAGAGUACUGCCAACUUGAAGUACAAAGCCAGAGAUUAAUAGUCACCAGAAUGGUGCCACUGAAAUUUGCCAAUGGACAAUUCCCAUCCAAGGGAAGGAAGAAUGAAUCAAAUCACUGCGCUGCUGACCUUGCAGUCUAAUGGUGUAUGUAUGCAUGCGGGUGUCAUGUGAUGAGACAAUGAGGCACCAAAUCUCAUCUGUUGAUGCUUUGAACUUUAUGCUGGUUCUCAUUAUUGGAGAACAUGGGACCAGUUCUGCUUAGACUCUUUUUAUCAACAUUUAUGCAGUGGGGACUGGGUGAAGCUGCUUGUGCUACCAUUUCGCAAUGUGGAAGGCAAGAAUGGGUUUUAGCUUUUCACCUCCAUUGCUACAUUGUGCCGUGUUUUACAUUUAAAAACGAAAACCUGUUAUUAGAAUUUUUGAGAAUAUUGUUUGCUUCCUGCGACUAUUAGAAUAUUUUAUUGUUAAGAUGGCGAUGAAAGGGAAAGAAGGGAAUUCCUCCACUCUUUCUACUGCUUCUUCAGAAAAUCUGAUAUGUGGAUUGAGCAAUUGGAUUUGCAAUGAAAUGGUUCCAUCUUUUGUAUGAUUAUGA